GGUAUGAUCAGAGAUGGAUGGGUUUAGAAACUCAGCUGCAAUAUGCCCAUACUGUUGCAUCCACUGGAAGUUGCCCAGAGCCCAAUCGAUUCUGCUAUACACUCUGGUAGAAGUGUCUUGCUUGUUAGUCCAUGUAAAGUUCCAUCCAAUUCUUCUAAGGGGGGUAAGGUUCAUAUCAUAGAUAAGUUGCUUAAAACACCUAAUCUCAGCUUCAGUGACUAUAGAGACAAUCCUGUCCUCAGAAGACAAGACAUUAUUAAAGUCUCCACUAAGAAGCCAAGUUUCCUGGGGAGGUAUAGACAGCCCUCUAAGAUCCUU
rnacentral:lncRNA from 1 species